GGGUGUUGUGUGGUGCUUGAGGGCAAGCACCAGAUUAGUGUGGGGAGUUUGAUAGAGUGCAAAAACAACACCUUAUCACCUACAUUUGUGUGUUUAAAAUGAAUUAUUUACUUCUUGAUUAAGUUAGUUUAUUCAUUUUGAUGCAGGAUACGAGUGGGAACCUAAAGUCGAGAAGAACCACAGAAAACAAUAGUGGGAACCACAAAAUUACCAUCUAUCACGGUCUUGGCAUUGGGCAAGGCUAAGAC
rnacentral:lncRNA from 1 species